GACAGAGGGUGCGAACGUUGUUCGGAAUUACUGGGCGUAAAGGGCGCGUAGGCGGCCUGCUAAGUCGAACGUGAAAUCCCUGGGCUCAACCCAGGAACUGCGUCCGAUACUGGUUGGCUUGAAUCCGGGAGAGGGAUGUGGAAUUCCAGGUGUAGCGGUGAAAUGCGUAGAUAUCUGGAGGAACACCGGUGGCGAAGGCGACAUCCUGGACCGGUAUUGACGCUGAGGCGCGAAAGCCAGGGGAGCAAACGGG
rnacentral:rRNA from 1 species